AGCGUCUUAGCGCAGUCGGUAGCGCGUCGGGCUCAUACUGCACCAAAAGAUCACCCGAAGGUCCCUGGAUCAAGACCAGGAGACGCUA
rnacentral:tRNA from 1 species